GAAAAAAUUAGAUAUAUGAUCUCCUCAAACAUCGGGGAGGUCGCGUCCAUAUUCCUGACAUCGGCUUUGGGUAUUCCAGAAGGUCUCAUCCCAGUGCAACUCCUAUGGGUCAAUCUAGUUACAGAUGGCCCUCCAGCGACUGCUUUGGGGUUCAACCCGCCAGAUAAAGAUAUCAUGAAGAAACCUCCUCGAAGAAGUGAUGACUCGUUGAUCACUCCUUGGAUCUUGUUUCGCUAUAUGGUUAUUGGCCUUUAUGUUGGGGUUGCAACAGUGGGAAUCUUCAUCAUCUGGUACACGCAUGACAGCUUCAUGGGAAUUGACCUGGCUAGUGAUGGUCAUACACUUGUGUCGUACUCCCAGCUCUCAAACUGGGACCAGUGCUCCUCAUGGGAGGGCUUCAAGGUGUCGCCAUUCACCGCAGGAGCGAGGACAUUCAGCUUCGAUGCAAAUCCAUGCGAUUACUUCCAGGGUGGCAAGAUUAAAGCAACGACCCUCUCUCUGUCAGUCUUGGUGGCCAUUGAGAUGUUCAAGUUCCAAAUUAUCAAAGUGCACUUUCUUCAAAGCAACAAUCUUCAAGAUCACGGGCUCUGUAAACAUUACUAUAUGUACCCUGACCAAUAUGAAUAAACCAAAGAAUAAUUCUUGAAAACAAUUUCCAAGGCAAUAAAAUUUACAUGUGGCAAUCCUCACAGUGAGUUAUUUCCAUCGGAAGUACCCCUCAGGCCCUCACAACACUCGUGAACACAUCUGAGCACAUAAUCUCAAUAAUUCAGUCCAAACCAAAUUCUAGAAAUGGUUUGAAGUAUAUCAGCCAAAUAACAGUUCUCGUCUUUCACAGUUCAAUGUCUAGACUUUAAGUAUGAAUCCAGAACAGAGCAAACAGAA